GGGGAUGAUCGGUUUCGACGGUGUUGGUCGAGACAGGUGAAGCGGGCCGAGGAUGCAGAGUCAUCUCGUCAACGCUCUCUGCAAAACAAUAAGUGCCAACUCUAAGCGCACUGACUUCGCUCUCGCUGCCUAAGUAGCGAACGAGUCCGUCAGCCCGGGAACGCUAUCGUCCCGGAUCCUGGCGUCGAUUAGAUAGCCACUGCUGGUAGCCCUCGUCAUUGGGGCUGCUGGGACUUUUAGAUGACUGAGCCCGGGUCAGCCACUUGUGUGCAUGAUGGCUGGGGCCGAGAAAUCCCGAAGCACACUGCGCCCGGAGAAGCCCUGACAAAGCCGCAUCGGACGGGGGUUCAAUUCCCCCCAUCUCCACAU
rfam:Sinomonas sp. MTSC 117 Contig37, whole genome shotgun sequence.